AUCUCGCCGAUGAUGGAGAAAAGUAGUUAAGAGUACACAUGGCCAGAGAGGAAAUGCCGUAGGCUGGAAGCAUUUCUCCAUGAUGACUUAACGAACGAACACUCCGUAGGUUUCUCUUUGAACGCGCGAUUGCUAGUAGGAGAGAACGCUUUCCGAGCGUUAUCGGAUAAAGUGGAAGCAUGCGCUUCAACUAGGGUGGCACCACGGGAAUUCGUCUCUCGUCCCUAAU
rnacentral:ncRNA from 1 species